CCUACGGGUGGCUGCAGUGGGGAAUAUUGCACAAUGGGCGCAAGCCUGAUGCAGCCAUGCCGCGUGUGUGAAGAAGGCCUUCGGGUUGUAAAGCACUUUCAGCGGGGAGGAAGGCGGUGAGGUUAAUAACCUCAUCGAUUGACGUUACCCGCAGAAGAAGCACCGGCUAACUCCGUGCCAGCAGCCGCGGUAAUACGGAGGGUGCAAGCGUUAAUCGGAAUUACUGGGCGUAAAGCGCACGCAGGCGGUCUGUCAAGUCGGAUGUGAAAUCCCCGGGCUCAACCUGGGAACUGCAUUCGAAACUGGCAGGCUAGAGUCUUGUAGAGGGGGGUAGAAUUCCAGGUGUAGCGGUGAAAUGCGUAGAGAUCUGGAGGAAUACCGGUGGCGAAGGCGGCCCCCUGGACAAAGACUGACGCUCAGGUGCGAAAGCGUGGGGAGCAAACAGGAUUAAAUACCCUAGUAGUC
rnacentral:rRNA from 1 species